GAUGAACGCUGACAGAAUGCUUAACACAUGCAAGUCAUUGGCGAAGCUGCGCUUGCGCAGUCUAGCCAAGGCGGACGGGUGAGUAACGCGUAAGGAACUUGCCCUGCAGACAGGGAUAACAGACGGAAACGACUGAUAACACCUGGUAUUGUCAGGCUGGCGCAUGCCGGCCUGAUGAAAGGAUACGCUGCAGGAGAGCCUUGCGUCCUAUUAGCUAGUUGGUGGGGUAACGGCCCACCAAGGCGAGGAUAGGUAGCCGGCCUGAGAGGGUGAACGGCCAAAAGGGGACUGAGAUACGGCAGUGACGCCUACGGGAGGCAGGAGUGGAGAAUAGUGGACAAUGGGGGCAACCCUGAUCCAGGAAUUCUGUGUGCACGAAGAAGGUUUUCGGAUUGAAAAGUGGUUGCAGAAGGGAAGAAGAAAGUGACGGUACCUGCAGAAGAAGCGACGGCUAAAUACGUG
rnacentral:rRNA from 1 species